rnacentral:rRNA from 1 species
UUCCGGUUGAUCCUGCCGGACCUGACUGCUAUCGGAUUGAUACUAAGCCAUGCGAGUCAUUGUAGCAAUACAAGGCAGACGGCUCAGUAACGCGUAGUCAACCUGACCUAUGGACGGGAAUAACCUCGGGAAACUGAGAAUAAUGCCCGAUAGAACACUAUAUCUGGAAUGGUUUGUGUUCCAAAUGAUUUAUCGCCGUAGGAUGGGACUGCGGCCUAUCAGUUUGUUGGUGAGGUAAUGGCCCACCAAGACUAUUACAGGUACGGGCUCUGAGAGGAGUAGCCCGGAGAUGGGUACUGAGACACGGACCCAGGCCCUAUGGGGCGCAGCAGGCGAGAAAACUUUGCAAUGUGCGAAAGCACGACAAGGUUAAUCCGAGUGGUUUGUGCUAAACGAACCUUUUGUCGGUCCUAGAAACACCGAUGAAUAAGGGGUGGGCAAGUUCUGGUGUCAGCCGCCGCGGUAAAACCAGCACCUCAAGUGGUCAGGAUGAUUAUUGGGCCUAAAGCAUCCGUAGCCGGCGCUGUAAGUUUUCGGUUAAAUCUGUACGCUCAACGUACAGGCUGCCGGGAAUACUGCAGCGCUAGGGAGUGGGAGAGGUAGACGGUACUCGGUAGGAAGGGGUAAAAUCCUUUGAUCUAUUGAUGACCACCUGUGGCGAAGGCGGUCUACCAGAACACGUCCGACGGUGAGGGAUGAAAGCUGGGGGAGCAACCGGAUUAGAUACCCGGGUAGUCCCAGCUGUAAACUAUGCAAACUCAGUGAUGCAUUGGCUUGUGGCCAAUGCAGUGCUGCAGGGAAGCCGUUAAGUUUGCCGCCUGGGAAGUACGUACGCAAGUAUGAAACUUAAAGGAAUUGGCGGGGGAGCACCACAAGGGUGAAGCCUGCGGUUCAAUUGGAGUCAACGCCGGAA